AACGAACGCUGGCGGCGCGCCUAAUACAUGCAAGUCGAGCGAGAAGACGUAGCAAUACGUUUGUAAAGCGGCGAACGGGUGAGGAAUACAUGGGUAACCUACCCUCGAGCGGGGAAUAACUAGCCGAAAGGUUAGCUAAUACCGCGUACGCUCCUUGGACUUCGGUUCAGGGAGGAAAGCGAUACCGUGGGUAUCGCGCUCUUGGAUGGGCUCAUGUCCUAUCAGCUUGUUGGGAGGUAACGGCUCACCAAGGCUUCGGCGGGUAGCUGGUCUGAGAGGACGAUCAGCCACACUGGCACUGCGACACGGGCCAGACUCCUACGGGAGGCAGCAGUAAGGAAUAUUGCGCAAUGGGCGAAAGCCUGACGCAGCGACGCCGCGGUGGGGGAUGAAGGUCUUCGGAUUGUAAACCCCUUUCGGGAGGGAAGAUGGAACGAGCAAUCGUUCGGACGGUACCUCAGAAGCAGCCACGGCUAACUUCGUGCCAGCA
rnacentral:rRNA from 1 species